rnacentral:rRNA from 1 species
CCUACGGGUGGCAGCAGUAGGGAAUAUUGCACAAUGGGGGAAAGUCUGAUGCAGCGACGCCGCGUGAGUGAAGAAGGAUUUCGGGAUGUAAAGCUCUAUGAGCAGGGAAGAAGAAAGGAGGUAGUAGACGACGAAGCCCUGGCUAAAUAAGUGCCAGCAGCCGCGGUAAUACGUAGGGGGCAAGCGGUAUCCGGAUUUACUGGGGGUACAGGGAGCGGAGACGGGUGUGCAAGUCUGAAGUGAAAGCCCAGGGCUCAACCCUGGGAUUGCUUCUGAAACUGUUGAGCUAGAGUGCUGGAGAGGUAAGUGGAAUUCCUUGUGUCGCGGUGAAAUGCGUAGAUAUUUGGAGGAACACCAGUGGCGAAGGCGGCUUACUGGACUGUAACUGACGUUGAGGCUCGAAAGCGUGGGUAGCGAACAGGAUUAGAUACCCUUGUAGUC